GACGAACGCUGGCGGCGUGCUUAACACAUGCAAGUCGAACGCUGAAGCUCAGCUUUUGUUGGGUGGAUGAGUGGCGAACGGGUGAGUAACACGUGAGUAACCUGCCCCCUUCUUUGGGAUAACGCCCGGAAACGGGUGCUAAUACUGGAUAUUCACUGGUCUUCGCAUGGGGGUUGGUGGAAAGGGUUUUUCUGGUGGGGGAUGGGCUCGCGGCCCAUCAGCUUGUUGGUGGGGUGAUGGCCUACCAAGGCUUUGACGGGUAGCCGGCCUGAGAGGGUGACCGGUCACAUUGGGACUGAGAUACGGCCCAGACUCCUACGGGAGGCAGCAGUGGGGAAUAAUGCACAAUGGGCGCAAGCCUGAUGCAGCGACGCCGCGUGAGGGAUGGAGGCCUUCGGGUUGUGAACCUCUUUCGCUCAUGGUCAAGCCACAACAAUGGUUGUGGUGAGGGUAGUGGGUAAAGAAGCGCCGGCUAACUACGUG
rnacentral:rRNA from 1 species